GCAUAAAUGAAAGUGAAAGUAUGAGAGAGAAACUAGGGCGAGGUGUUUGUGCCGAGCAGCAGACAAAAAGGGAGUUCUUUCUUUUCCACAUAUUCUUCAAGGAAAACCCUGUUCUGUAACUCAGAAGCAAUAAAAAGCCUACAGGAAGUAAAGUUCCUUGUUUCCUGGCUUCUUUAACUUCCUGUCAGCGUCAUGCCAGACCCUAAGCGCUGUCUGGAAGCUCUCUCAGCUCUCUCUGGCUGUAAUGUCGAGGCGACUACCGGAGCCUCCCAGCUCAGCCCUCAGGACGUGGUCAACAUCGUGGCCCUGAAGGAGUUUUACAGGCAGAAGGGCUUCAGAGAGCUGGAAUACCAUGUGGAGAGCUUAGGGACUUUAUCCCUGCAGGACGUGGACGACAUGGACAUGUACAGUUCCCCCCUAGCGCUGACACCGGCCCCCGAAGAGAGCCUCAAAACCACAGUGAAGAUAAACCUCCAGGACUUCUUCCAUCCACAGUUCGACUAUGACUUCACCAAGAUAAAGGAUGGCGACAGGAAGUUCCUGCGAGGUAAUGAGCAGUACGUUCGUCCCUGCGGGUGGAACCGGGUCGCCCUGCGCGUUGUCCAGAAGUACGACGACGGAGACAGCUGGCUGAGGACGGGGAAGGACGCCUGGCCCGUCUCCUACCACGGAAACAGCAUGGAUGGCUCCCUGGGCAUCAUCCUGACUCAUGAAGGGAACCCCAAAGAUGAACCGGAUUUUCUGGAUGCAGCGGCCGCCUCUGUGGUCGCCGAGGACACCCGGGGCCGGGGCGUCUACUCCACACCAGACAUCCAGAUGGCAGAGAAGCACUGCAAGAAGUUCAAGUCCAAAGUGGACGGGAAGACAUACAAAGUGGUUCUUCAGAACCGCAUCAACCCGGACAAAAGGGUGAAGUGUCAGAGAGAAGACGUGUGGUUGGUGUAUGUCCCCGAAGGACACAACGACAUCCAGACGAGGGCCAUCGUCCAGGAGUCCAUCCGUCCGUACGGCCUGCUGCUGAAGGAGGCGUGAACCAGGACACGUAUGAACCCACAGAUUCAGCAAAUUCAGCCUGACGUCUUCUUAUUAACAUAAAAAAAAAUCACGAAAAUUAAUUCACGGUUCUGUAAAGACCUUUUCAAAAAUGAUGUAGUGAAUUUACAGCUUUCAUGGUUUAAUGGUGCUUUCCUAGUGACCUCAUCACACUCUACUGAUGUAUAAUGGCCUUGAUUUAACUCGGAGGUUGGAAAUUUCUCAAUCUGAAUUUGAAUUCUGAGCCCAAAGAGUUCCACGACUCCGUAAACGUAAACGUAAACACUCAACGUUAUAGAAACAGUGGAGGACAAGAUAUGGAUGUAAGCAGUGGUGGAUGAAGUAUUCAGAGUCUUUACUUCAGUAAAAGUACAAAUACAGCAAAGAAAAACCAUCUCUGUUACAAGUUAAAGUACAGAGCAGCAAAAUGUAGUUCAUUAAUAGUGAAGUAUCCAUCUGUCAGCUGCACAUUGCUUUUGUUCCAGAGAGAUAGAUAGACUAUAGAUAGACUAUAGAUAGAUAGACUAUAGAUAGAUAGAUAGUUAAUCCAGAGGGAAAUUCCUGGUUUGAACCACUUUAAAUCCAGUUUUAAAGACAAGAGCAACAGAUAAAUCUGAGGGCUCCAAACACAUUCAUAGGAAAGAGAAAAAAACAACAAAUAAAAUAAAUGGAGCAGAAAGUCUGAUAGUUAAUUUACAAUGUGGUGCAGUCGAAGCAGAAAGGGCAGAAAAUGGAAAUGUACGAGUACGUCAACAGCUGGACUUUCGUACAGUACUUGAGUAAAUGUACUUAGUUACUUUCCACCACUGGAUAAAAGGUUGUCAGAUUUCCCAGUGGGAGCUCUGAAUUCAAGAGAAAUUUUUGAUUUCCAGGUUGCUUGAAAAGCAGCAUUUUCAGGGAAUUUCUGCUGCUAUAUGUUAAGUUCAGUGUUAAGAAGCUCUGCACAGAUUAAUGUACCUGAAGGACUCAGAGGUUGGUGAUUUAUGGAUGUGAUGAUGGAAAAACAAAGUUAGGAUGAAACUAAACAGGACAGGUUGAUUCAUGUCUACUGAUAUUUACUGAUACUACCUAACUUUUAUUCCUUACUGCUCAUAACUGAACUGUCCUGAUGAACACUGAUUGAACUCUGGUGGUUUUAUUAUUCUAACAGUUCAUAUUUGAGAUAAUGGUGAUCUGGAUUAAAAUUCUGCUGAGUCAUGAUGCCGUUCAGCCUCACUGCUCAGAAUUCAUUUUAAUUGUCCGUAAUAUUAAAUCAUUCUCUAAUAUACUCUAUGAUUUAUCUUCUGCAGUCCAUCCAGCUAACAGGACUACAGAUAAUCAGUUUCUCCUGUUUUCUGUUUGAAUGUGUGUCCAACAUCUGUAUGGAAUUAAAUGGAGAACAGAUCCUGGUUUAUUGGUAAUCUAUAAUCUGAUAGUAAAUAUUCCUCAUAACUUCUUAAUUGUUACAGAAAUAAGCAUCUUGAUUCCAAGCUGCAUGUUAACACUAUAAAACAUAAAACAUGGCAGAUUGUACUGUUAGUACAGUUUCAUACUGGGAAUUAUUAGCAAUAUAAAUUCUAAACUCUUUACAAAUCAAGGAAGUUUUAAAUCUAUUUCUGUUGGUUAACUCGUCCUUUUAAUGCAUUUACUAUCCUGAAAGCAAACAUCCUUUCGGAGGUCACUGAUGAUUAUUUCAUUUUAUUUUCACUUUCUUUAAAGACCAGAAUUCCAGAGCCAGAAAAAACAGUUUUCGUACGAGUCAGUAUUAAACUAUACGAGCAGGUUUACAAACCCACAACUACAGAAACUUAAUAUUCCUGUUAAUGUUGUAAAUUUCAUUUGGUUAUUUAUGUAGGAUUUAUAGUAGAGUAUAAUUACCAUAGUGCAAAAACAACAGUAAAAGUCACGCAUUCAUUAUUUUACUUUAGUAGAAGGAUGCACAUAUUAGCAUUAAAUAGACCCAAAAUACUAAAAUUAAAAUUUUUUUCAGGCAAAAUGUCCAGUUAACAAGAAAAUCUUCAAUGAUGGAGCUUAAUGUUGGUCGCUUACUUUAUGAAAUGGCAGCAUGAGUUAUAAUCUGAUUUUAUUUGCAUUAAUAAUUAGAAUCUGCAUUAGAAAACUGCAACUCCUGACAAAACAAAUAACUAAAUAAAUUUAGGAAGAUCAGGUAACUUAUAAGAGUGUUGACUCAAAGUUAGUGUUUAAAAAUGAUAAAAUAGGAUUAUGAAAUUAUGUCCGUUAAAAACUUAUUGCAAUACAAGCUUAAUUAAUGCUGAACUUGAGGUUCUGAUUAGUUCAGAGGUGAAUGUGACAGAUCCAGUAGUUCACCAAUAGGGGGCAGUACAGACACAGAAAUAGAUGUGAUACUGAUCAGUGGUGAACCGAUUGUGGAACAAAGAUAUUAUACAGAUAUUACAGUCUAUGGUGGUAGAAGAGGAACUCUUAAAUCUUCUGAAUACUUGAUUAAAAGCUGAAGUUUUACAGACAGACGUUCAACUAAUAAUAAAUACAGAAUAUAAUAUUUCUCCACCAGCAUUGAGUUUGACUGAUGUCAGUCCUGAGCUGCUGUUCUGGACUAAAGCACAUCACAGUGAACAAAGAUGAAUCCAGCUACACACCUGAGCACAGGUAGAAUCCAACCAUGCUGAUGAAGCAGAAGGUGAAUAAACCUGGAAGAAGGCAGAUCCCCGGACUCCAGCAUGGCAGCUUUACUCUGCUGGACCCAUCGGCUCCUGAAAACAGAAAUAACAGCACUUCAUUACUAAUCAGUUGAUAUUUUCACAUUUUACACUCCUGUUGAAGUCUCCAUGUUUGUUUUUAAGGUGUAUAGAACCCAUCUCUACCCAGAUGUGGUCUGCUGCUAACAAACAGACUUUAUUAAAUCUUUCAUUUGGAUUUUCCUGUGAGUUACAGACGACUAAAACUAAAGUUAAACAUUUAGCAUCAGGAUGUUUUCAGGCACCUGAAACCUUAACUAGCUGUGAAACGUAGAAAUAAAAUACAGCAGCUAAAAUAACACGCCCAGAUAAGAAAAUAACUCUUUCUUCCCUGGAUGCUAUCAAUAAAAAUUAGAUUCAAAACCUCAUUUACUGACUUGGAACAGAUAGCAGGUAAAGAUAUUAAAUUAUUUUCCCUUUGGUAAUAUUUUCAGGCUAACCCCAAUUAUCUCCCAGUCACAACCAAAAUUAAUUAAAGUUAAAUAAAAAAACAUAAAUGAAGAUGUUCUGUUUUCUGUUAGUAUCCUAGAAUAAACUUGUAUUACCUUCUGUUUGGUUUCAGUAAAACAUGACAUCAUUAGCAUCAUGUAGCAUUAGCAAUGAACCGAUAAACUUACAUGCUGAAGCCAACGGCUAUCUGUAUUAAAAAGAGUAAGAUUUUAUGUUUAGUUUCAUUUAACAGAUUCAGAGGUUUCAGAAACACAAUUUUGGCUAAUGGGAGUUUUCUAACAAAAUAAUAAUUACUUCAUGAGGAUUCAACCAAAUAAAGAAGCUUUAAAAGACCUCCUGUUUUUCAGGUAACGUCUCUUUUCAGUUGUUUUCUUUUUGUCUUUUAUUAGAACUACAACCAGCUCCUAGCUUUCUAUCCAUUAUAAAGAUAAAUCAGUAUCUAUUGAUGUCCUGCACAGCAGCCAACAUGUGAGGAUCUGGUUGCUGUUUUUAUCAAGAUAAAAUCAUUAUUUUAAUGUCUGCAUUUUGAUACCUGUUGGAAGAUGUUAAAAUUCAUGUUUGUAAAAUUAGAGCAAAAAGGUGUUCAGUUUGUGGUCAGUUCAGUAAAAACUCAUUGAAACUGGACCCAACUAAAAAAACACAACUAGAACUAUAUUUCCUCCCAACCUGACAUGUUUGGUUUCAGUUUAGAAUAAAACCACGACUAAAACCUCAUUGUUCCACCAAAUGUCACCAUGACUGUUUUUUUAAAAGCUAGACAUGAAACUAGUUCACUUUAACCUCAUAAACUAUAAUGCACACAUCCCUGUGUAUAUCUUUGUAAAAAUUACUGCUUUAUUCAAACAACAUAGACCUUAUUCUUCUCUGUCCUGUUCAGAUCCUGACGUUUCUAAAGAUACCAGAUAUUUGUGUUUUCAUGAGUUUUGGGUAAAUGUUCAGCAUGCUGCACUAAACACCUGGAAAUGUUCAGAUUUUUAUAUUUAAUUUCAGCUGCUGGGGUUCAGAAACCCGGACUAACUGGGUGUGACUUUAUCUCAGUAUCGACAGCAUUUCGCUUCAGUAACGGCUGGAUAAUGUCAAAUUCAGAGUAGAAGUUUUAAUGCUUAUGGAAAAUCUGAGUGGGGAAACACCUCAACAGUUAGUUCUGAUUUCAUCUACAUUUUCCACAAACAUCAUAGAUUGAAUGUAAUAUGUGAAGAACUGCUCACUAAAAGGUAGUUUUUAUUUUUGCUGCUGAGUUUCUGCAUCAGUGCCAUUCAAUUUACAUGAAUUUAUAUGUGAAAAUUUAAAACAUUUUAUUAAAAAAACAGCGCAUUAGAAACAAAAGCUGCCACACAGACACAAGUUAUGACAGGUAUGAUGUGUGACAUGUAUGAUGUGUGACAUGUAUGAUGUGUGACAUGUAUGAUGUGUGACAGGUAUGACGUGUGACAUGUAUGAUGUGUGAUAGGUAUGACGUGUGACAUGUAUGAUGUGUGACAGGUAUGAUGUGUGACAUGUAUGAUGUGUGACAGGUAUGACGUGUGACAUGUAUGAUGUGUGACAGGUAUGAUGUGUGACAUGUAUGACAGUAGCUAAUAAUGUCAUGAGUAUAAUCAUGGACCACUAACGAGGACACGACACUAUAGAGUGGAUAGAAAAUCUAUUUUAUAAACUCUCUGCUCUGCAGUGACUCAGCCUGGUUCAUCUGGUUAACAUGUGCUGCAUUCAGUGUCCAUUAUCACUUUAUGUUAUUUAUGAUCAAUGCUUUGAAUGUGGAGGUCUAAUAAAGGACAUUUUCACUGAUUAAUUCCUGCAGGGUAGAGGCUCCUCAUCGAGUAAUUCUGAGCUUUCCCUCUUUCAAAGGGCUUCAGUAAUUCAUGCUGGUCUUUGUGUUGAAUGAGACAAAGUUAAACUGUUUAAGAUCUCUUUAGGUGCUUCAACUUUUCCU
ensembl:lncRNA